UACGUAGGGUGCAAGCGUUGUCCGGAAUUAUUGGGCGUAAAGAGCUCGUAGGCGGUCUGUCGCGUCGGCUGUGAAAACUCGGGGCUCAACCCCGAGCCUGCAGUCGAUACGGGCAGACUAGAGUGCGGUAGGGGAGACUGGAAUUCCUGGUGUAGCGGUGAAAUGCGCAGAUAUCGGGAAGAACACCCGUGGCGAAGGCGGCACUCUGGGACGGUACUGACGCUGAGACGCGAAAGCGUGGGGAGCGAACAGG
rnacentral:rRNA from 1 species